rnacentral:rRNA from 1 species
GACGAACGCUGGCGGCGUGCUUAACACAUGCAAGUCGAACGGUGAAAGCGGAGCUUGCUCCGCUGGACCAGUGGCGAACGGGUGAGUAACACGUGGGCAACCUGCCCCUCACUUCGGGAUAACUCCGGGAAACCGGGGCUAAUACCGGAUAUGACCUCCUUGGGCAUCCUUGGAGGUGGAAAGUUUUUCGGUGAGGGAUGGGCCCGCGGCCUAUCAGCUUGUUGGUGAGGUAGUGGCUCACCAAGGCGACGACGGGUAGCCGGCCUGAGAGGGCGACCGGCCACACUGGGACUGAGACACGGCCCAGACUCCUACGGGAGGCAGCAGUGGGGAAUAUUGCGCAAUGGGCGAAAGCCUGACGCAGCAACGCCGCGUGCGGGAUGACGGCCUUCGGGUUGUAGACCGCUUUCAGCAGGGAAGAAGCCGCAAGGUGACGGUACCUGCAGAAGAAGCACCGGCUAACUACGUGCCAGCCGCCGCAGUAA